rnacentral:lncRNA from 1 species
CCCCCCAAGUUGUCAUCUUCAAUCUGAAUUCUGAAUCUAAAUAUCUGAAGAGUUAAAAAAAGAACAAUUCUUCUGCUUGUACAGAUAGCACUUCUAAAAAAGGAUCUCGAAUUUUGAUUUAAUAAAACACCGGAUAUUGAUUCAAGAAAACAUAUUAUCCAAAAUUUAUUUACUAUUUUAUGAUAGAUCUAUGGAUGUGAACGUAAUCCAUUAAUAAAUGUGCAUGUAUCUGACCAUGAUAACCAUAUAACUAUUUAUAUACGUUUCUAUAUAUAUAAAUAUUUGAUCUUGUGGACUGUUAAAAAGAUGGGUAGUAUAUUGGAGGCAACAAUAAUCCAUCAUGUGUGCAUAGUGCUGAUUUUGCUAUGGUUACUUAAUCCAUUCAAAUGUUGCCACCCAAUUGCUUACUUUCUUUCCCUCAUCUAUCUCUAUUUGGUGACUAGUUUUACGAUCUUACUUUUUUUUGGAUAAGUAUUAUAAUUUUCUGGACAUUUGUAAAGAUUCGGGUUAUUUUUUUGUUGGAUUUUCACGUCCAUGAGUUGUAUGAGACGAGAUUGGGAAGGAAACUGCUCUUUGAGGAGAGAAGACAAUCCAAUCAAAGACGGGUAUACAAUUUUUUACUGGGUUUUGUUUAUUGCCUGUCUUUUUCUUCAAGUGUUCCUGUGACCCCUCUGUUUUUUAUCCUUUUUUUUUUUUUUGUGGGAUGGGAGGUUGUUUAAUUGAAUAGAUAAAAAGUGAACAAAAGAAAGAAGAAAGGGAACAGAAAAAGAGUUGUGGAAUUGAUUUUUUAUUCUGAUUCCAUAGUUUUGUCUAUGCAUACUCUUUAUCAGUGGUUUGGCAUUGUUG